UCCGGCUUGUCACCGGCAGUUUCUUCAGAGUGCCCGGCUCUACCCGGUGGCAACUGAAGAUGAGGGUUGCGCUCGUUGCGGGACUUAACCCAGCAUCUCACGACACGAGCUGACGACAGCCAUGCACCACCUGUGCAGGACCCCGAAGGACACCGUAUCUCUACGGCUUUUCCCUGCAUGUCAAACCCAGGUAAGGUUCUUCGCGUUGCCUCGAAUUAAGCAACAUGCUCCGCCGCUUGUGCGGGCCCCCGUCAAUUCCUUUGAGUUUUAGCCCUGCGGCCGUACUCCCCAGGCGGGACACUUAAUGCGUUAGCUGCGGCACCGGAGGGCUCAAUACCUCCGACACUUAGUGUCCAUCGUUUAGGGCGUGGACUAC
rnacentral:misc_RNA from 1 species